rnacentral:rRNA from 1 species
AACGAACGCUGGCGGCAUGCCUAACACAUGCAAGUCGAACGAGACCUUCGGGUCUAGUGGCGCACGGGUGCGUAACGCGUGGGAACCUGCCUUUAGGUUCGGAAUAACUCAGAGAAAUUUGAGCUAAUACCGGAUAAUGUCUUCGGACCAAAGAUUUAUCGCCUUUAGAUGGGCCCGCGUAAGAUUAGCUAGUUGGUGGGGUAAAGGCCUACCAAGGCGACGAUCUUUAGCUGGUCUGAGAGGAUGAUCAGCCACACUGGGACUGAGACACGGCCCAGACUCCUACGGGAGGCAGCAGUGGGGAAUAUUGGACAAUGGGCGAAAGCCUGAUCCAGCAAUGCCGCGUGAGUGAUGAAGGCCUUAGGGUUGUAAAGCUCUUUUUACCCGAGAUGAUAAUGACAGUAUCGGGAGAAUAAGACUCCGGCUAACUCCGUGCCAGCAGCCGCGGUAAU